rnacentral:rRNA from 1 species
UACGUAGGGGGCAAGCGUUGUCCGGAUUUAUUGGGCGUAAAGCGCGCGCAGGCGGUUUCUUAAGUCUGAUGUGAAAGCCCACGGCUCAACCGUGGAGGGUCAUUGGAAACUGGGGAACUUGAGUGCAGAAGAGAAAAGCGGAAUUCCACGUGUAGCGGUGAAAUGCGUAGAGAUGUGGAGGAACACCAGUGGCGAAGGCGGCUUUCUGGUCUGUAACUGACGCUGAGGCGCGAAAGCGUGGGGAGCGAACAGG